GACGAACGCUGGCGGCGGGCUUAACACAUGCAAGUCGAACGGAAAGGCCCGGCUUUUGGGGGGUGCUCGAGGGGCAAACGGGGGAGUAACACGCGCGUAACCUGCCUUUGACUGUGGGAUAACUUCAGGUAACUGGGGCGAAUACCGGAUAGGAGCUUCUGCUGCAGGGGGGGGGCUGGAAAGUUUCGGCGGUGGGGGAUGGACUCGGGGCUUAUCAGCUUGUUGGUGGGGGAGUGGCUUACCCAGGCUUUGGCGGGUAGCCGGCCUGGGCGGGUGACCGGCCACAUUGGGACUGAGAUACGGCCCCGACUCCUACGGGAGGCAGCAGUGGGGAAUAUUGCACAAUGGGCGGAAGCCUGAUGCAGCAACGCCGCGUGCGGGAUGACGGCCUUCGGGUUGUAGACCGCUUUCGCCUGUGACGAAGCGUGAGUGACGGUAAUGGGUAAAGAAGCCCCGGCUAACUACCUG
rnacentral:rRNA from 1 species